rnacentral:tRNA from 1 species
GUCUGUCAGAGGAUAACUCAGUUGGUUAGAGCAUGAGACUCUUAAUCUCAGGGUCGAGAGUUCAAGCCCCACAACAGGCA